GCCAGCAUGGCAUAGUGGUUUGAGCGUUAGUCUGUGACUCUAGGGACAAGGGUUCAAAUCCUCGCUUGGCC